rnacentral:rRNA from 1 species
UCCGUAGGNGAACGUGNGGANGGAUCAUUAAUGAAAUGUUUGCNGAGAAGGGUUGUAGCUGGCNUCCAGGGGCAUGUGCACACCCUGAUCGCAUCCACCUCCCACACCUGUGCACCGCCUGUAGCUUGGGAUGAUCACGGAGCCCUGAUGGGUGACGAAUGCCCUCGUCUACGAAUAUUCUCACACACGCUCAAAGUAUGACAGAAUGUACAUCAUAUUGCGUCUGAUAAACGCGACAAAUACAACUUUCAACAACGGAUCUCUUGGCUCUCGCAUCGAUGAAGAACGCAGCGAAAUGCGAUAAGUAAUGUGAAUUGCAGAAUUCAGUGAAUCAUCGAAUCUUUGAACGCACCUUGCGCUCCUUGGUAUUCCGAGGAGCAUGCCUGUUUGAGUGUUAUGAAAUUCUCAACUGCCCCCAGGCUUUGUGGCCUGCAGGUGAAGUUGGACUUGGAGGUAUGCUGGCGCAUGAAUGGGCUUUGUGGCCCUGCCUUGCUUGUUGGCUCCUCUUGAAUGCAUGAGCUUUCCAAUCCUUGGCAAAGUAUCGUCGAUGUGAUAAUUGUCUACGUCGCCCGAGAAAGCCGAAAGGGGAAAUCUUUGAUCACGCCAGGGUGACCUGCGUCUGACAAAUUCGACCUCAAAUCANGUAGGACUACCCGCUGAACUUAANCAUAUCAAUAAGCGGANGAA